CUGUGGUUAAGUUAAUAAGGGCACACGGUGGAUGCCUUGGCGUUAGGAGCCGAAGAAGGACGCAGCGAACUGCGAUAAGCCUCGGGGAGUGGUAAGCACACUUUGAUCCGGGGAUUUCCGAAUGGGGGAACCCACCAUCUGUAAUGGG
rnacentral:rRNA from 1 species